rnacentral:rRNA from 1 species
AGUGAACGCCGGCGGCGUGCUUAACACAUGCAAGUCGAACGAGAACGGGAUAUAGCUUGCUAUAUUUGCCAGCUAAGUGGCGCACGGGUGAGUAAUGUAUAGGUAAUAUGCCUCUUACUAAGGGAUAACAAUUGGAAACGAUUGCUAAUACCUUAUAUUCCUUUAAGACUAAAGUCUGCAAGGGAAAGAUUUAGUGGUAAGAGAUUAGCCUGUAUUGUAUCAGCUAGUUGGUGAGGUAAUGGCUCACCAAGGCUAUGACGAAUAACUGGUUUGAGAGGAUGAUCAGUCACACUGGAACUGAGACGCGGUCCAGACUCCUACGGGAGGCAGCAGUGGGGAAUAUUGCACAAUGGACGAAAGUCUGAUGCAGCAACGCCGCGUGGAGGAUGACACAUUUCGGUGCGUAAACUCCUUUUAUAUAGGAAGAUAAUGACGGUACUAUAUGAAUAAGCACCGGCUAACUCCGUGCCAGCAGCCGCCGUAA